rnacentral:rRNA from 1 species
GACGAACGCUGGCGGCGUGCCUAAUACAUGCAAGUAGAACGCACAGUUUAUACCGUAGCUUGCUACACCAUAGACUGUGAGUUGCGAACGGGUGAGUAACGCGUAGGUAACCUGCCUGGUAGCGGGGGAUAACUAUUGGAAACGAUAGCUAAUACCGCAUAAUAUUGAUUAUUGCAUGAUAAUUGAUUGAAAGAUGCUAUUGCAUCACUACCAGAUGGACCUGCGUUGUAUUAGCUAGUAGGUGAGGUAACGGCUCACCUAGGCGACGAUACAUAGCCGACCUGAGAGGGUGAUCGGCCACACUGGGACUGGGACACGGCCCAGACUCCUACGGGAGGCAGCAGUAGGGGAUCUUCGGCAAUAGACGAAAGUCUGACCGAGCAACGCCGCGUGAGUGAAGAAGGUUUUCGGAUCGUAAAGCUCUGUUGUAAGAGAAGAACGGGUGUGAGAGUGGAAAGUUCACACUGUGACGGUAUCUUACCAGAAAGGGACGGCUAACUACGUG